rnacentral:rRNA from 1 species
GCGGAAUCACUGGGCUUAAAGCGUGUGUAGGCGGGCGUUCAAGUACCUUGUGAAAUCCCACGGCUCAACCGUGGAACUGCUGGGUAUACUGGUUGUCUUGAGCCAGCUAGGGGCGAGCGGAACAGACGGUGGAGCGGUGAAAUGCGUAGAUAUCGUCUGGAACGCCGAAGGUGAAAACAGCUCGCUGGGGCUGCGCUGACGCUGAGACACGAAAGCCAGGGGAGCGAACGGG